UACGUAGGGUGCGAGCGUUACUCGGAAUUACUGGGCGUAAAGCGUGCGCAGGCGGUUCGUUAUGUCCGUUGUGAAAGCCCCGGGCUCAACCUGGGAAUGGCAAUGGAAACUGGCGGGCUAGAGUGUGGCAGAGGGGGGUGGAAUUCCGCGUGUAGCAGUGAAAUGCGUAGAGAUGCGGAGGAACACCGAUGGCGAAGGCAGCCCCCUGGGCUGACACUGACGCUCAGGCACGAAAGCGUGGGGAGCAAACAGG
rnacentral:rRNA from 1 species